CCUUCCUAAUCUUAGCAUUUUAUUUUAGGGACCAGUCAUUCACUAUGGAAUUUUAGAAAGAAAAGAGAACAUCCACUUUAUCUUAUACAGUGACUCCCUAGAAAAUCUAGAAGUGUAUUUGAAGAUGUUCUCACUAAGUUGUGGACAGGUCCCACUAGUGUUUGGAGACGUGAUCACACAAAAGGAAGAAUUAGCAGGAAAGAUUAAACACAGACAUCUUUUGGUGGGAGGAAAAGACGUAAUGUAUUCCACAUUCUCUAAAGGCUAUAUAAUCAUGUUGUACACUCUUAGAAAAAUAUACUGGACUGGCCACUGAAGAUGUGAACAUUAUUGCAGCAAUUAAAAAUAAAUGGCUUAUAAAACAAGAAGGUUUUGUUACAUUAAUUCACAUUG
rnacentral:lncRNA from 1 species